ACCAGACUCCUACGGGAGGCAGCAGUGGGGAAUAUUGCACAAUGGGGGAAACCCUGAUGCAGCAACGCCGCGUGAGUGAAGAAGUCCUUCGUGAUGUAAAGCUCUAUCAGCAGGGAAGAAAAUGACGGUACCUGAGUAAGAAGCCCCGGCUAACUACGUGCCAGCAGCCGCGGUAAUACGUAGGGGGCAAGCGUUAUCCGGAUUUACUGGGUGUAAAGGGAGCGUAGACGGCCAGACAAGUCUGAAGUGAAAAUCCAGCGCUUAACGUUGGAAGUGCUUUGGAAACUGCCGGGCUGGAGUGCAGGAGGGGCAGGCGGAAUUCCUAGUGUAGCGGUGAAAUGCGUAGAUAUUAGGAGGAACACCAGUGGCGAAGGCGGCCUGCUGGACGAUGACUGACGUUGAGGCUCGAAAGCGUGGGGAGCAAACAGGAUUAGAUACCCCAGUA
rnacentral:rRNA from 1 species